UCCUGACUGACCGAUAGUGAACCAGUACCGUGAGGGAAAGGCGAAAAGAACCCCGGCGAGGGGAGUGAAAAAGAACCUGAAACCGUGUACGUACAAGCAGUGGGAGCACGCUUAGGCGUGUGACUGCGUACCUUUUGUAUAAUGGGUCAGCGACUUAUAUUCUGUAGCAAGGUUAACCGAAUAGGGGAGCCGAAGGGAAACCGAGUCUUAACUGGGCGUUAAGUUGCAGGGUAUAGACCCGAAACCCGGUGAUCUAGCCAUGGGCAGGUUGAAGGUUGGGUAACACUAACUGGAGGACCGAACCGACUAAUGUUGAAAAAUUAGCGGAUGACUUGUGGCUGGGGGUGAAAGGCCAAUCAAACCGGGAGAUAGCUGGUUCUCCCCGAAAGCUAUUUAGGUAGCGCCUCGUGAAUUCAUCUCCGGGGGUAGAGCACUGUUUCGGCAAGGGGGUCAUCCCGACUUACCAACCCGAUGCAAACUGCGAAUACCGGAGAAUGUUAUCACGGGAGACACACGGCGGGUGCUAACGUCCGUCGUGAAGAGGGAAACAACCCAGACCGCCAGCUAAGGUCCCAAAGUCAUGGUUAAGUGGGAAACGAUGUGGGAAGGCCCAGACAGCCAGGAUGUUGGCUUAGAAGCAGCCAUCAUUUAAAGAAAGCGUAAUAGCUCACUGGUCGAGUCGGCCUGCGCGGAAGAUGUAACGGGGCUAAACCAUGCACCGAAGCUGCGGCAGCGACGCUUAUGCGUUGUUGGGUAGGGGAGCGUUCUGUAAGCCUGCGAAGGUGUGCUGUGAGGCAUGCUGGAGGUAUCAGAAGUGCGAAUGCUGACAUAAGUAACGAUAAAGCGGGUGAAAAGCCCGCUCGCCGGAAGACCAAGGGUUCCUGUCCAACGUUAAUCGGGGCAGGGUGAGUCGACCCCU
rnacentral:rRNA from 1 species